CCUACGGGUGGCAGUAGUGAGGAAUAUUGGUCAAUGGGCGGAAGCCUGAACCAGCCAAGUAGCGUGCAGGAUGACGGCCCUACGGGUUGUAAACUGCUUUUAUACGGGAAUAACGCGCCUUACGUGUAGGUCUUUGCAUGUACCUUAUGAAUAAGGACCGGCUAAUUCCGUGCCAGCAGCCGCGGUAAUACGGAAGGUCCGGGCGUUAUCCGGAUUUAUUGGGUUUAAAGGGAGCGUAGGCGGCAUGUCAAGCGUGCUGUGAAAUGUCGGGGCUCAACCCGGGCCUUGCAGCGCAAACUGGGGUGCUAGAGUGCGCGGGAGGCAGGCGGAAUGCGUGGUGUAGCGGUGAAAUGCUUAGAUAUGACGAAGAACCCCGAUUGCGAAGGCAGCAUGCUGCAGCGGAACUGACGCUGAUGCUCGAAAGCGCGGGUAUCGAACAGGAUUAGAUACCCGAGUAGUC
rnacentral:rRNA from 1 species